GGGGGGGCCGUGCUCUGCAGGCGGGGGUGUCUUGUAUCCUGCCUGGAAACGUGAGGGCAGGGGGACGGCUGCCUCCGCGGGAAUCUCCCCGCUAAACCCUCCCGGGCCGGGCCGGUUCGCGGCUGUCGGUGGGGACGUGUCUGGGAGCCGGCGCUGAGCGCCGUGUCACGGCCCGGCGCGUUUGGAGGUUUCGCUGGGCAGGAGGCCCGGUGGUAGGUAACCAGCAUGCGCCCAGCCCGCGCUGUGCUGGAACAGGGAGGGAGUAGGGAUUUGUCUCAGGCAACAUCAACUGGGACCUGAGGGCUGAAGAGCCGCUGGCACCUGCUCUGCGAGGCCGGAUGCCCCGUUAGAUGCUGUGGGACCAUCGUGACACACCGCUUGAGGUGCCCGCGGGAGCUCUGGGGCUCCCCUCGCCUUCCCAAUCCGAGCCCCUCGCUGCUUUCCACCCCCCAGGGCUAGACCAGCUGCCUGGCGCGGGUGCUGCAAGGUCCUGAUGCUUGUUACUUGAGGUCUGGGCUGGAGCUAAUUUUAUACCUUCACACCCUAGGUAAACCGCAGCGGUGGCUAAUCUGGUGCAGCCACAAUUCGGCCUGACCUUCCUGAGAACACGGGACCGCAGGACAGAGCACCAGGAGAGCGGAGUUUGGGCAGAGCCGUGGGUUUGGGGCUGUGAAAGAUUCACGCAGGGAGCAGCAAGGAGUUUAUUCUUAGUCGGAGGCGCCGGGGCACACGCCAACGGUGCGCGUCAACUGCUGACUUAGGGAAGCUCCAGCCCUCGGUCGGCUGCUCCGGGAGGAUGAGGCAGAUCCAGGCGGAUCAAAGGCAGGUGCUGAUGCUGGUUCCGGCUGCUCCCUCCGUGCCUGUCCUUGCCCCGCAGCAAUUAACAUACAGCUUUUUGCUGGAUGGAAACUCGGCUCUCCGGAGCAAAAGCAAGGCGCUGGUGAGCCGCUUUGCGUAGGGACGAUGUGGCCGGUGGAAAGCGAUGCCACUGCCACGGGCAAGGAUGUGGCCCCACGUCUCCUGGGGGCUGCGCGUGGGGUGAGCCCGUGUGAGGAGGCUGUGGCACGCAGACAGUUGGAGGUGACCCCUUCCCUCCCUGCCUGGGUGUGGUGUGGCACAUACCUGUCCCGACGCCUGAUCAGGGACAAGAUUGAGCUAACGAAGCUGACGAGGGAGGAUGCCAUCCCCCAUCAGUGCGUUUCCACCCAGCCCAUUUCCUUCCCAGUGGAGACUGAUGUUGAGCACCCUCCCUGUUCUUGCUCUGCUGGCGGAUCACAUGGAGUGAUGAGCAGCUUUGCCAAGGUCACCCCGGGAGGCUCCAGCCAUUUGUACCGCGGCCCCCACGCUCUCGAUACAAGACGGAGCCGCGGCCUCCGGUGCACUGUGCCGUGAAGGUCUCAUUCCACCAGAAAACCUGCGCAGACUGGGGGGAUCCUGUGGACCAGCUGGGAUGGCACAGGGCCAGGCAGCGACCCCAGAUCUGCAUGGGGCUAUAGGGGCCACGCUGCUGCGCCCCAGUGCAGUGGGGUGGAGGAGGAGAGGUGAUGAAUUUGACCUGCAGGGCCUGGGCCACCACGGGCAUCACUGCGAGGGCUGCAGCCGCCUGUGCCCUCCCUGUGCGUCAGCGAGGCUGCGUGGGACCAGGGCACAGGGCCACCCGGUCACCCUCACGGGCACACAGAGCCACUUUGUCCCGGGGCAGUCACACCGCUCCACUGGCACCCGCAGAAACGGCCUCUCUUGCAGUCGGGCACAAUGAAAAAUGUAAAAAAGAAACGCUGUAAAAACUGGGAGGGGGGCGGGGGGGGGGGGGGGGAAGAGCUGUGUGAGCAAGUGUUGAAAGCCACAUGAGUAGGAAACAGAUUGUAAUCUCCCUAACGAACUGCAGUUAAUCAGCAGGAGCAACUGUGAACAGGGGUUUGGUGCAGGGCUUGCUCCCUGUGCCUCUUUCCAGAGGUGGACCCUUAGGUGACUGGGGGCUCUGUGUCCCCUACAAUAAAGAUCCCAAAGUCAGAGGUGAAUGGGACUGUAUUUAAGCUAACCCUGAUGUUGGUAUGGGUUGUGGGGUUUUUUGUGCAGGGAGAUUUGCCCACAGACUUGGCUUUUGUUCUCAGUUUUUCGUGGACCGAAUUAGCUGGAGGAGACAGGCCAGGGCAGUGUUAUUGAAGAGGCAUCCCAGUUUGGAUGGCCCCUGGGACUCCUUGCUGUUGCCUUCUGUGGGCCUUGGACCUGAUCCUGAGCCAGGACUCCUGAAACAGGGAGUGCUGCAGUCCAAGGGCAAAGACCUAAACAAAGGCCAGAACACCGUUACCUUCUUAUACAAGCACUUAGUUAAUCAUACAGAGGUGUUGGCCCUCCCCGAUGUUACCCCUGUGCCAGCCCUGCCACCCAGAGAGGAGUUCAUUAUCUAUGGCCAGU